UGUAUCCAGAAUCUCCCACUAUCAGGAGCGCCCCUUGCUGCUUAAAACAUCAAGUGCUGAGCAAUUCCUCAUAUCCACAGAGAUGUUAAUCUUAGGGGAAACUUCCUUUGUGAAGAAGUUAGCCUGGAUGCUCGCCGUUAUCUGAACACCACGGAGGAGCCAGGACCCUCUGUGAGCAGCGCAGCAUGAACCUGCACAAGCAGCAGUAGCCCUCGCCCCUGGGACAGAAGGCCAUGGGGGCUGGUGGAAGGCUCCUCAGCCCCUCACCUGGCACCUAUUUACAAUCAGCUGCUGUAAUGAGGGAGUGGGGACUGUCCAGAGGCUCUUCAGGAGGGUCUAUAAAGACUUGGGCUGGAGACUGUGAGGGAGUAAGGUUUGGGUGCUGUGAUGCACUGGUGAGAGAUCACAUCCCAAAGACACAGCUUAUGGCAUGUGAUCCUUAUGCUAGUUUGAGGCAGGAAGAUGCAACUAGAUGCAAGGCAUAAUAUAAACUUGCAUCACUUCAGCUUUUUCCCCUACAUCGGCUGGGUAUGUUGAAGAAAAAAGUUGAAAGAGCUGAAAACCAAGGAGACAUGACUUCAUACCUGAAAUUUUAGUCAUCAUUGAUCAUCUAAAAUGGUCACACACAGUGUAGCUGCAGACCCCCCACCUCGCCGUGCCUCAACCUGCUGCUGGUGCCUGACCUGGAGACCCACGUCUGCGCGCCUCGCAGAGAGCCCAGCCUCUCCGGGGAGGACGGCGAAGCCUGCUGACAGAAUGUUCAGCGAGCUGGAGAUUUGUCUGCUAGGCAGAGCUGGAGACCCAGAGCACCACACUGUUGCUGCUGCUGUGUACUGCACUAGCAAAUGUAGUCAUUCAGAAGAAUGUAAGAGCUCCCUCGGAUCGAGGGCACAGCCCACUCUUUCGUCAGAUUUCUACGCUCAGCCCACCUUCAA